rnacentral:sRNA from 1 species
AUUCCAAGAACCUGGACAACUUGCCAUCAAGACUUUCCAUCAGGUCUUAAAAAUAAAUAUGAAUUUAGAUUCCAUACAUCGAUUAAUUGAGGAAACACAGAUCUUCCAGAUGCAACAAUCAUCAAUUAAGUCACGCGGCGACAUGGUGGCACCUGCCUCACCCCCCAGGGAUACCUGUAAUACCUGCUUCCCACUUCAUGGGCUACAAUCUCAUGCUGCUCACAAUUUCUGUGCUCACUCAUAUAACACCAACGAAUGGGAUAUUUGUGAAGAACUUCGCUUGCGGGAGCUUGAAGAAGUCAAGGCCAGAGCUGCUCAGAUGGAAAAGACCAUGCGGUGGUGGUCGGACUGCACUGCCAACUGGAGAGAAAAAUGGAGUAAAGUUCGAGCUGAAAGGAACAGUGCCAGGGAGGAAGGAAGACAACUCAGAAUAAAACUAGAGAUGGCGAUGAAAGAAUUGAGUACACUGAAAAAGAAACAGAGUUUGCCACCUCAGAAGGAGGCAUUAGAAGCUAAAGUUACCCAGGAUCUGAAGCUUCCUGGCUUCGUAGAAGAAUCCUGUGAACAUACAGACCAAUUUCAAUUGAGUUCACAAAUGCAUGAGUCUAUCAGAGAGUAUUUGGUAAAAAGACAAUUUUCUACAAAGGAGGACACAAAUAAUAAGGAACAAGGUGUGGUUAUUGAUUCUUUAAAAUUAAGUGAGGAGAUGAAGCCCAAUCUAGAUGGUGUUGAUUUAUUCAACAAUGGUGGUUCUGGAAACGGUGAAACGAAAACUGGGCUGAGACUGAAAGCAAUAAAUCUGCCUUUGGAAAAUGAAGUAACUGAAAUUUCAGCUUUGCAGGUGCAUUUGGAUGAAUUCCAAAAAGUCUUAUGGAAGGAAAGAGAAAUGCGCACAGCUUUGGAAGAAGAAAUAGAGAGACUGGAGUCGGCUUUGUCUCUGUGGAAGUGGAAGUAUGAGGAACUGAAAGAAUCAAAGCCAAAACAUGUGAAAGAGUUUGACAUUCUUCUUGGUCAACAUAAUGAUGAAAUUGAAGAACUGUCAGGCAAUAUAAAGGAAGAAUCCAAAUCUCAAAACAGCAAAGACAGAGUGAUUUGUGAGUUAAGAGCAGAGCUAGAGAGAUUGCAAGCUGAAAAUACCUCGGAGUGGGACAAGAGGGAAAUACUUGAAACAGAAAAGCAGGGACUGGAGAGAGAAAAUAGAAGGCUGAAGAUCCAGGUGAAAGAAAUGGAAGAGCUCUUGGAUAAGAAAAAUAGAUUAAGUGCAAACUCUCAAAGUCCUGAUUUCAAGAUGUCACAAAUUGAUCUGCAAGAAAAAAACCAGGAUGUAAAAUAAUGUUCAUGCAUCUGAAACAAAGUGUGUCAAAUGUUAAAAUAUGACAAAUCUUCAGAAAGUUUCAAGAUUUCCAAAAGAAAGAAGAAAAAUGAAGUAAGAAAUAGACCUUUCUGGUUUUUUGUUUCUUAUUAAAGCUUUGUCUCAGUAUUUUCUAAGCUAAUGAUCUUAUUUCCAAUAAAGAUUUUUUCAUUAAUUCAAGCGACU